GUAAGGAAUAUUGGGCAAUGGAGGCAACUCUGACCCAGCCAUGCCGCGUGAAGGAUGACGGCCCUCGUGGUUGUAAACUUCUUUUGUACGGGAAUAACCCUCCGAACGUGUUCGGAGCUGAAGGUACCGUAAGAAUAAGGAUCGGCUAACUCCGUGCCAGCAGCCGCGGUAAUACAGAGGAUCCAAGCGUUAUCAGGAUUUACUGGGUUUAAAGGGUGCGUAGGCGGAUGGAUAAGUCAGUGGUGAAAGCCGACAGCUUAACUGUAGAACUGCCAUUGAUACUGCAAGUCUGGAGUAUGGUUGAGGUAGCUGGAAUGGGUCAUGUAGCGGUGAAAUGCUUAGAGAUGACACAGAACACCAACGGCGAAGGCAGGUUACCAACCCAUUACUGACGCUGAGGCACGAAAGCGUGGGGAUCAAACAGGAUUAGAAACCCCUGUAGUCC
rnacentral:rRNA from 1 species